rnacentral:rRNA from 1 species
GGACUACCCGGGUAUCUAAUCCUGUUCGCUCCCCACGCUUUCGCUCCUCAGCGUCAGUGUCGGCCCAGACCACCGCCUUCGCUGCUGGUGUUCCUCCUGAUAUCUGCGCAUUUCACCGCUACACCAGGAAUUCCGUGGUCCCCUACCGAACUCUAGUCACGACAGUAUCGAGUGGCAGCUCCAGGUUGAGCCUGGAGAUUUCACACCCGACUUAUCGAACCGCCUACGAGCUCUUUACGCCCAAUAAAUCCGGACAACGCUUGCACCCUACGUAUUACCGCGGCUGCUGGCAC